rnacentral:antisense_RNA from 1 species
AGUGAACUGCCUCUCUCCGAUUGGUUUUGCCCGAGUUUUAUUUUUGUCUGUCUCAGCUAGAAAGUGGGAGACUUUCAUUUAAAAUGGAAAUUGGAGCGAGGGGUCGGCGGCUGGGUGAAGGGAGCAUUCAAAAGCGUAGAAUGUCACUUUACCCGAGAAAUUCACUACGAUGGGCCAUUGGUUCCUGCUCGGCUCGCAGGCGCACUGCACGAGUGGAGGCGUGGCUAGUGGCUGUGAUGAGAUAAAUCCAUGCAUAGCCUUUUCAUUGCGAGCUUGAAAGUUCUUUUCUAUUACAGUUUUAGCUUUAGGUUUAAUUGGUUCGACUGCCUUCUUCACAAUUUGGGCGAGUAUUUCUUUUGCCUUCUCAGCAAAAGUUCUGCGGACCCGUCUGGGUCAACUUUCAUGAGGGACAUUGAGACAAACAAAUGAAAUAUUGGUCAAAGUACUCUGAGCAGCUACAAAAAGAAGACCAGCCUAUCCUGCUGGAGACAGUAGCCACGUGAAGAAAGAGCCCUUGGAGUAUGAAAGACCACAUGGAAAGAGAGGCCACAUGGAACCAACAGUCAGCAUCUUGGUUUCGGACAUGUGAAGAAAUUCAUCUCAGACUGUGUAUCCUAAAUCAGGCACUUGCUGAAUGCAACUACAUGAGUGAGACCAGUUGACAACACAUGGAGCAGACAUGAGCUGUUCUCAGUGAGUCCUACACAAAUUCCUGACUCACAAAAUUGUGAGCAAUAAAAUGGUUGUUAUUUUAAGCCACUGAAGUUUGCAGUGAUUUCUUACAUAGGAAUAGAUAAAAUGAAACACAAACAUUGAUCAUUUGCAUCUUCUAUCUUUUUUAUGACUAGUCUUAUUGGAAAUUACCAGUUUAUUUCUGCCAUGGUUAGAAAACAAACUCUGAAAUUUUGAUACUUUAAAGUUUUUUUGAGACUUACUGUGCCCAGAAUAUAGUCUAUCUUGGUAAAUGUUCUGUGAGCACUAGACAAGAAUAUGUAUUCUGGAGUUAUUGAGCAUUGUGUCCAUCAAUGUCAACGUGAUUAAGGUGGUUAAUAGUUUUCUUCAGAUCUUCUAUAUUGUAUUGAUUGUUUUUUGUGUAGUGUUACUAUUAAUUAUUGAGAUAGGAGUGUAAACCUUAAACUAUCGUUGUGAAUUUGCCACUUCCUUUAGUUUUGUCAGCUUUUCUUUUGCAUUUUUGAAGCUCUGUUAUUGGGCAUAUAAACAUUUAUGGUUCUUGUGUCUUCCUGAUGAAUUGACCAUUUUAUCAUUAUGAAAUGUCUUUAUCGCUGAUAAUACUCCUUAUCUUGAAGUCUA